AUGGCUCUUGUAGGUGCCCAGGUGCCUGAAGCUCCGGCCACACUGCUGGCAGCAGUAGGGCGUGGCACCACUGUGGAUCCUUUGGUGAGUAUAGAGGUUGCCCAGCUCUUUGAAGCGACGGCCACACUGUGGACAAGCAUACGGGCUCUCCCCAGUGUGCACGCGCUGGUGUCUCUUCAGGCCCGACAGCACAGAGAAGCCUUUACCGCACUGCGGGCAGGGGAAGGGGCUCUCAUUCCCACUGUGCACCAGCCUAUGGCUCUUGAGGCGGGCCGCGUGCCUGAAACGCUCCCCGCACUCAGGGCACACAAAAGGCUUCUCUCCGGUGUGGAUGCGCUGGUGCUGCCGCAGGUUUCCCAGCUCCAUUUUGAGGACGCGGAUUCGGAUGCUGACCAUUUGGCGGAUCUCGGACAGCGCCGUGUCCAGGACCAUGCUGAUGUUCCGGCCCAGGUGCUCCGUGAUGUCGCUGACCGAGCACAGCAGCUCCUCAUCGGGCUCCAGGAAGUCAUCGCUGUCGGGGCGGACUACACACCCGGGAGGCUCCAUGGGCUCCGACCCGAGGCUGCUGUCCACCAAACUCAGGUUUCUCUUGCGGAUCAUGGACUCCCUUUGCAGCAGAAAUGUAUUUUUAUGCAGACUUUGGUUUGCUCUCCGCACAACGGGCUAAUCAUUAAAGGGAGCCAGUUGCACCGGAUGUGCCUUGUUAGUACCUUCAAUGUAAAAGCCGUGUAUUAAUAUUGUAAUAUAAAACGACCCUGCUUAAUCACGGAGAGCUUUUAUUUUGAAAUUAAUUUUGAAAUUGGCCUGGGAAGAGUACUUUAUCCUGCUGUUCAUCAUCGCCACCACUGGAGGGCAGCAUCGAGUUAAACAGUGACAAAAAAAGUGAAAUACAUAUUUUUUGCACUAGAAAUAGAUUAUUGUAAUUUUUUUAAUAUACAUUUUGCUUUUCCGUGGAAUGUUUUAUUUUUCCGACUCAAGCAAUUGCACUUAACGCCACAACGCAGAACAUUCCAGGUUAUGUGUUGAACUUAACAUAAACAAACGUAUCACCUAGACAGAUAUAAUUACCAAAAGACACACGGUUUUGAGGUAGCCUAUUUCUCACCUAUAAAAACAGCUCUUAAUUACCUGUAGUCAAAUACAUGCUUGUGUUGUAUUCUAUUUAUUGGGUAGAAUGUUAUGCAGUGUGGCUUUGGUUUCCUCUGUUAUAAAAUAAAUUUACUUAUGACUGUAAACUGUGUAUUAUGUUGCUUUGCUUUUACCUUUAGAAUACAUUAUGUGAUUGUAUAUUAAAGGCGCACCGCGUAACAUUUUGGACUAUACUGUUGCUAUUAAUACAAAACAUGUUCCUAAUGACCAGCUCGACACAAUGUUAUUUUUGCAGUCGGUAUUCAAAGAAUGGAUUUGGAGGAGGACCAAACCUGUUUAGAUCUGAAAUACUGCUGCCCUUGGUCAGCAUCUCCAAGGAGACGAGCUGGAGACGUACCCUCUCCCGGUAAAGUUACAGUCAUUUCUCAGGAGAGGUGAGCUGCUCACAGCAAAAGCACACGUUUGUACAUUUAGUACAAUGGCUGCUGGCUGCUCUGCUUGCAACAAUGACACUGGAGGCCGCCAUUACUCCGCCAUUGCUGUAGUACCGCCAUAUAGCCGCUAGUCCCCCAUUGGAAUCCAUUGCACUUUAGACACGUUAAAAACAACUUUAAUGCCCAGUGCCUACUUUAUUCCUGCUGUGUUUACGCUGGGUUAGACACAAUCAGAGGCACCGGGCUGGUUAUCGUAGGAUACAUUUUAGAAAUCUCCUACUUAAUGAGGGUCGAACUGUUAGCAUUGGAGCUGCGCAGCUACACGUCACGCAAGGGCCGAGUCUACAGUGAAGAUCCCGCCCUUAUGCCCUUAUUAGGAACAUCCUUCGUCAGAGCUGGGGAGGAGGAGUCUGUAAAUCCGCCUUGAUUUCCCCCUCGAACGUGGUCAUUAUGGUAA
ensembl:lncRNA